CCAUGAGCAAGAUUGGCACAUGCAGGAAGGAGCUGGUCAGGAAAGGCCGGGCUAGUACAUUGCCCACUGCGUGCUCCCCUGCUGAGGACGGACUGACUGGAGGUGAAGAGAUCUCAGGGCAGAGGUUGCAUAUCGCGAGCAGACUGCGCGGUGAAACAUGGCGGCACGGAGGCAAGACUCACCUGGAGCCGGUGGAGAGGGCAGAGGUCACGGGCAAGACCAGCCCCACUACAACACCACGCCUCCCCCCGAUUUGAUGCAUUGGACCCCCACCUCAACCAAAGUCAAACCCGCUCCGAUACGACGACUGAAUGUUGACAUCAACAAGGAAGUACUCCCUUGAGUCAGAACAAGAUCGUAGCCAACGAGGAUGAAGCGCUUCCUGGAGUCUAGGAACUUAUUUGGACAGAGGCGGCAUCGACGUGUGGGAUGACUCUAUAUCAGUUGCCACGGGUGUAAAAAUUCCAUUGCAAAAGUAGUAGUAAAAGGGCCAACUUAUAGAGAUAUGGAACAAAACAUACAUACAAUACAAUACAAUAUUUAUUACA